CUGAAACUGUAGAUCGAGUGCAAUAGUUAAUUGAUGUUGUAAAGCUGAUUCUUUCUCUAUAAAAACUGAUUUUUCCUUUGUUAUCUCCUCAAUUUCUAGAGGAUUUUUCUCUUCUUGGUCAUUUUGAAUUGAUUUCUCCAGUUCUAAAUAAGUGGAAUGUGGUGAAAAAAAGGACAAUCACUUGUCAGUCUUGGCGUCUUUUUUAAUCUUUUUUU